rnacentral:rRNA from 1 species
UACAGAGGGUGCAAGCGUUGUUCGGAAUUAUUGGGCGUAAAGCGCGUGUAGGCGGCUUUGCAAGUCGGGUGUGAAAUCCCUCAGCUCAACUGAGGAAGUGCGCCCGAAACUGCAGAGCUUGAGUACCGGAGAGGAUGGCGGAAUUCCCCAAGUAGAGGUGAAAUUCGUAGAUAUGGGGAGGAACACCGGUGGCGAAGGCGAGUCCCUGGACAAUUCCUGACGCUGAGGCACGAAAGCUAGGGGGAGCAAACAGG